rnacentral:lncRNA from 1 species
UUCCAGAAUGACAAAAAGAACGGGUUUUCAAUAAUUUCAAAACAAUCACUCAAAACUCAAAACUACAAAACUGAAACACGAACAGAACAACUCCUUAUAUUCUAAAACUUUGCAUUAAAAAGUAUGGAGUUGAGAUCUUCGAACUCAAGUUUUGUAUUAUUUGCGCAUCACGUUAAGAAAGAGGUAUAGUUCAAAUAAGUUUUUAAAUUGACCAUUUAUUUAUGUUUCAAUUUUCAAUUUUGAUUUCAUUUUCAAAUUUUAAUUAUAAGAUUUUUAAAAAUGCAUUUGAUUUGUCAUUCUGAAAGAUCAUUUUUAAAAAUAGAAAACCAAAUUAAC